rnacentral:rRNA from 1 species
UCUUGGGUGACGAGUGGCGGACGGGUGAGUAAUGUCUGGGGAUCUGCCCGAUAGAGGGGGAUAACCACUGGGAACGGUGGCUAAUACCGCAUAACGUCGCAAGACCAAAGAGGGGGACCUUCGGGCCUCUCACUAUCGGAUGAACCCAGAUGGGAUUAGCUAGUAGGCGGGGUAAUGGCCCACCUAGGCGACGAUCCCUAGCUGGUCUGAGAGGAUGACCAGCCACACUGGAACUGAGACACGGUCCAGACUCCUACGGGAGGCAGCAGUGGGGAAUAUUGCACAAUGGGCGCAAGCCUGAUGCACCCAUGCCGCGUGUAUGAAGAAGGCCUUCGGGUUGUAAAGUACUUUCAGCGGGGAGGAAGGCGGUGAGGUUAAUAACCUCGCCGAUUGACGUUACCCGCAGAAAAAGCACCGGCUAACUCCGUGCCAGCAGCCGCGGUAAUACGGAGGGUGCAAGCGUUAAUCGGAAUUACUGGGCGUAAAGCGCACGCAGGCGGUCUGUUAAGUCAGAUGUGAAAUCCCCGGGCUUAACCUGGGAACUGCAUUUGAAACUGGCAGGCUUGAGUCUCGUAGAGGGGGGUAGAAUUCCAGGUGUAGCGGUGAAAUGCGUAGAGAUCUGGAGGAAUACCGGUGGCGAAGGCGGCCCCCU